AAAUUGAAGAGUUUGAUCAUGGCUCAGAUUGAACGCUGGCGGCAGGCCUAACACAUGCAAGUCGAGCGGUAGCACAGAGAGCUUGCUCUCGGGUGACGAGCGGCGGACGGGUGAGUAAUGUCUGGGAAACUGCCUGAUGGAGGGGAUAACUACUGGAAACGGUAGCUAAUACCGCAUAAUGUCGCAAGACCAAAGUGGGGACCUUCGGGCCUCAUGCCAUCAGAUGUGCCCAGAUGGGAUUAGCUAGUAGGUGGGGUAACGGCUCACCUAGGCGACGAUCCCUGGUCUGAGAGGAUGACCAGCCACACUGGAACUGAGACACGGUCCAGACUCCUACGGGAGGCAGCAGUGGGGAAUAUUGCACAAUGGGCGCAAGCCUGAUGCAGCCAUGCCGCGUGUGUGAAGAAGGCCUUGGGUUGUAAAGCACUUUCAGCGGGGAGGAAGGCGUUAAGGUUAAUAACCUUGGCGAUUGACGUUACCCGCAGAAGAAGCACCGGCUAACCCGUGCCAGCAGCCGCGGUAAUACGGAGGGUGCAAGCGUUAAUCGGAAUUACUGGGCGUAAAGCGCACGCAGGCGGUCUGUCAAGUCGGAUGUGAAAUCCCCGGCUCAACUGGAACUGCAUUCUGAAACUGGCAGGCUAGAGUCUUGUAGAGGGGGGUAGAAUCUGUGUAGCGGUGAAAUGCGUAGAGAUCUGGAGGAAUACCGGUGGCGAAGGCGGCCCCCUGGACAAAGACUGACGCUCAGGUGCGAAAGCGUGGGGAGCAAACAGGAUUAGAUACCCGGUAGUCCACGCCGUAAACGAUGUCGAUUUGGAGGUUGUGCCCUUGAGGCGUGGCUUCCGGAGCUAACGCGUUAAAUCGACCGCCUGGGGAGUACGGCCGCAAGGUUAAAACUCAAAUGAAUUGACGGGGGCCCGCACAAGCGGUGGAGCAUGUGGUUUAAUUCGAUGCAACGCGAAGAACCUUACCCGGUCUUGACAUCCACAGAACUUUCCAGAGAUGGAUUGGUGCCUCGGGAACUGUGAGACAGGUGCUGCAUGGCUGUCGUCAGCUCGUGUUGUGAAAUGUUGGGUUAAGUCCCGCAACGAGCGCAACCCUUAUCCUUGUUGCCAGCGGUUACGGGAACUCAAAGGAGACUGCCAGUGAUAAACUGGAGGAAGGUGGGGAUGACGUCAAGUCAUCAUGGCCCCACGACCGUGGCUACACACGUGCUACAAUGGCAUAUACAAAGAGAAGCGACCUCGCGAGAGCAAGCGGACCUCAUAAAGUAUGUCGUAGUCCGGAUUGAGUCUGCAACUCGACCCAUGAAGUCGGAAUCGCUAGUAAUCGUAGAUCAGAAUGCUACGGUGAAUACGUUCCCUGGCCUUGCACACCGCCCGUCACACCAUGGGAGUGGGUUGCAAAAGAAGUAGGUAGCUUAACCUUCGGGAGGGCGCUUACCACUUUGUGAUUCAUGACUGGGGUGAAGUCGUAACAAGGUAACCGUAGGGGAACCUGCGGUUGAUCACCUCCACCUUAAAGAA
rnacentral:rRNA from 1 species